rnacentral:rRNA from 11 species
CGCCCAAGAGUUCAUAUCGACGGCGGUGUUUGGCACCUCGAUGUCGGCUCAUCACAUCCUGGGGCUGAAGUCGGUCCCAAGGGUAUGGCUGUUCGCCAUUUAAAGUGGUACGCGAGCUGGGUUUAGAACGUCGUGAGACAGUUCGGUCCCUAUCUGGUGUGGGCGUUGGAUGAUUGAAGGGAGCUGCUCCUAGUACGAGAGGACCGGAGUGGACGAACCGCUGGUGUUCGGGUUGUCAUGCCA